GUGGUAUGGGUACCCAAUGUGUCUCGUGCAGUCGAACGGAUCAGCACCCGAGGGUGCUUGCACCUGGUGGCGAGUGGCGAACGGGUGAGUAAUACAUCGGAACAUGUCCUGUAGUGGGGGAUAGCCCGGCGAAAGCCGGAUUAAUACCGCAUACGAUCUACGGAUGAAAGCGGGGGACCUUCGGGCCUCGCGCUAUAGGGUUGGCCGAUGGCUGAUUAGCUAGUUGGUGGGGUAAAGGCCUCACCAAGGCGACGAUCAGUAGCUGGUCUGAGAGGAGCGACCCAGCCACACUGGGACUGAGACACGGCCCAGAUCUCCUACGGGAGGCAGCAGUGGGGAAUUUUGGACAAUGGGCGAAAGCCUGAUCCAGCCAAUGCCGCGUGUGUGAAGAAGGCCUUCGGGUUGUAAAGCACUUUUGUCCGGAAAGAAAUCCUUGGCUCUAAUACAGUCGGGGGAUGACGGUACCGGAAGAAUAAGCACCGGCUAACUACGUGCCAGCAGCCGCGGUAAUACGGUAGGGUGCAAGCGUUAAUCGGAAUUACUGGGCGUAAAGCGUGCGCAGGCGGUUUGCUAACGACCGAUGUGAAAUCCCCGGGCUCCAACCUGGCGAACUGCCAUUGGUCGACUGGACAGGCUCAGCAGUAUGGUCACGAGGGGGGAGUAGAAAUUGCCAUCGUGCUAAGCCAAGCUGAAAAUUGACCGUUACGAGUAUAGUGGAGGAAUACCGAUGGCGAAGGCAGCCCCCAAUGGGCYGAAUACGUGACGCUCAUGCACGAAAGCGUGGGGAGCAAACAGGAUUAGAUACCCUGGUAGUCCACGCCCUAAACGAUGUCAACUAGUUGUUGGGGAUUCAUUUCCUUAGUAACGUAGCUAACGCGUGAAGUUGACCGCCUGGGGAGUACGGUCGCAAGAUUAAAACUCAAAGGAAUUGACGGGGACCCGCACAAGCGGUGGAUGAUGUGGAUUAAUUCGAUGCAACGCGAAAAACCUUACCUACCCUUGACAUGGUCGGAAUCCUGCUGAGAGGUGGGAGUGCUCG
rnacentral:rRNA from 1 species